rnacentral:rRNA from 1 species
UACAGAGGUCUCAAGCGUUGUUCGGAUUCAUUGGGCGUAAAGGGUGCGUAGGCGGCGCGGUAAGUCGGGUGUGAAAUCUCGGAGCUUAACUCCGAAACUGCAUUCGAUACUGCCGUGCUUGAGGACUGGAGAGGAGACUGGAAUUUACGGUGUAGCGGUGAAAUGCGUAGAUAUCAGGAGGAACACCUAAGGCGAAGGCAGCUCGCUGGAACGGUACUGACGCUGAGACGCGAAAGCGUGGGGAGCAAACAGG